rnacentral:rRNA from 1 species
UACAGAGGGGGCAAGCGUUGUUCGGAAUUACUGGGCGUAAAGGGCGCGUAGGCGGCCUGCUAAGUCGAACGUGAAAUCCCUGGGCUCAACCCAGGAACUGCGUCCGAUACUGGUUGGCUUGAAUCCGGGAGAGGGAUGUUGGAUUCCAGGUGUAGCGGUGAAAUGCGUAGAUAUCUGGAGGAACACCGGUGGCGAAGGCGACAUCCUGGACCGGUAUUGACGCUGAGGCGCGAAAGCCAGGGGAGCAAACGGG